UACGGAGGGUGCAAGCGUUAUCCGGAUUUACUGGGUUUAAAGGGUGCGUAGGCGGCGCGGUAAGUCGGGUGUGAAAUCUCGGAGCUUAACUCCGAAACUGCAUUCGAUACUGCCGUGCUUGAGGACUGGAGAGGAGACUGGAAUUUACGGUGUAGCGGUGAAAUGCGUAGAUAUCAGGAGGAACACCGGUGGCGAAGGCGGGUCUCUGGGCCGAUACUGACGCUGAGGAGCGAAAGCGUGGGGAGCGAACAGG
rnacentral:rRNA from 1 species